AGCUCCAAUAGCGUAUAUUAAAGCUGCUGCGGUUGAACCGCUCGUAGUUGGAUUGCGAUUUUCGGCCACGGUCCUCUAAGACAUGAGGAUUGGCUUUGCCGCCGUUGGUCAUGAUCGGUUAUGUCACGAUUGUCUUGAAUGCUCUUUAUCGAGUGUACUUGACGACGUGGACGUUUACUUUGAGAAAAUAAGAGCGCUCAAAGCAGGCUGCUCAAUGCUUGAACGGAAUUUCAUGGGAUAGUGAAAAAUGAUCUCGCUGGUGUUCAAAAGCCACGAGGUAAUGAUUAAAAGAGACAGACGGUGGCAUUCGUACUGCUACGUUAGAGGUGAAAUUCUUGGAUCGUAGCAAGACGAACAAUUGCGAAAGCAUUUGCCAAGAAUGUUUUCA
rnacentral:rRNA from 1 species